AGACACACCCGGACAGCGCUUGGGGCAGAUCCCUGACUACAGUUCCCAGGAAUGUUAGCAGCGGACUCGGGUUGGUUGGAGCCAAGAUUGCUGGCAGGAUCUCAGGAGUCUGAGAGGGUCUGAACUGGAGUUGCCUGUGCAGCCGGCAGCAGCAGAAAUGCCCUUAAAAAGGGAAAGGAGAGACGCCAAGGAGAGAACCAGUGCCUGUGCCAGGAGCAUGCAACUCCCAAGAGGUUUCACCAAAGCAUGAACUAGGUUUGUUGACUGGUUGAGUGGUAGAAACAGACAGCCGUGUGUGAGGCCAGGAGAAGAUCAGCAUCACCUCUACGAUAUCAGAAGCAGCUGCAGAAAACUCAUGGAAUCUCUGAUCCCACCAGAUUUAUAAUCUUGCAGCAGCAAAGUGUGAGGCUAAGAGAAGACCAGCAUCAUCUACGAUAUCAUGAGCAGCUGCAGAAAACUCAUGGAAUCUCUGAUCCCACCAGAUUUAUAAUCUUGCAGCAGCAAAGUGUGAGGCCAAGAGAAGACCAGCAUCAUCUCCGAUAUCAUGAGCAGCUGCAGAAAACUCAUGGAAUCUCUGAUCCCACCAGAUUUAUAAUCUUGCAGCAGCAAAGUGUGAGGCCAAGAGAAGACCAGCAUCAUCUCCGAUAUCAUGAGCAGCUGCAGAAAACUCAUGGAAUCUCUGAUCUCACCAGGUUUAUAAUCUUGCAGCAGCAAAGUCUGCUAGGCAUUCUCCAAUAUCCAUUCUUCUCUCCCUCCAUAAUAAGAGUUUUAGGUGGAAACAUGGUUGCUCAGCUAAAGACUACAUUUCCCUGCUUCCCUUGCAGCCAGGGUGGUCAUGUGACUGAAUUUUGGCAGGUGAAGUAUAAGCAGAAGUUAUUUCUGUCCUCUUAAUUGGGUGUGUGCUCCCCUGUCUCCCUUUCCAAUUUCCUAUCAACUGGAAGAUCACAAAAGCUAAAGCAGCUUGGGAAUUAAAGAUGGAAUCUGUGCAAAGAGAAUGGUAGAGCCUCCCUAAAAGCUCUGGAUUGCUGACCAUCAGGCAAAUAAACCUCUAUUUUGUCU
rnacentral:lncRNA from 1 species